rnacentral:rRNA from 1 species
CGGUAAUUCCAGCUCCAAUAGCGUAUAUUAAAGUUGUUGCAGUUAAAAAGCUCGUAGUUGAACCUUGGGCUUGGUUGGCCGGUCCGCCUUUUUGGCGAGUACUGGACCCAACCGAGCCUUUCCUUCUGGCUAACCUUUCGCCCUUGUGGUGUUUGGCGAACCAGGACUUUUACUUUGAAAAAAUUAGAGUGUUCAAAGCAGGCCUUUGCUCGAAUAUAUUAGCAUGGAAUAAUAGAAUAGGACGUUAUGGUUCUAUUUUGUUGGUUUCUAGGACCAUCGUAAUGAUUAAUAGGGACGGUCGGGGGCAUCAGUAUUCAGUUGUCAGAGGUGAAAUUCUUGGAUUACCUGAAGACUAACUACUGCGAAAGCGUUUGCCAAGGACGUUUUCAUUAAUCAAGAACGAAAGUUAGGGGAUCGAAGAUGAUCAGAUACCGUCGUAGUCUUAACCAUAAACUAUGCCGACUAGGGAUCGGGUGUUGUUCUUUUUUUGACGCACUCGGCACCUUACGAGAGAUCAAAGUCUUUGGGUUCUGGGGGGAGUAUGGUCGCAAGGCUGAAACUUAAAGGAAUUGACGGAAGGGCACCACCAGGAGUGGAGCCUGCGGCUUAAUUUGACUCAACACGGGGAAACUCACCAGGUCCAGACACAAUAAGGAUUGACAGAUUGAGAGCUCUUUCUUGAUUUUGUGGGUGGUGGUGCAUGGCCGUUCUUAGUUGGUGGAGUGAUUUGUCUGCUUAAUUGCGAUAACGAACGAGACCUUAACCUACUAAAUAGUGCUGCUAGCUUUUGCUGGUAUAGUCACUUCUUAGAGGGACUAUCGAUUUCAAGUCGAUGGAAGUUUGAGGCAAUAACAGGUCUGUGAUGCCCUUAGACGUUCUGGGCCGCACGCGCGCUACACUGACGGAGCCAACGAGUAUUAACCUUGGCCGAGAGGUCUGGGAAAUCUUGUGAAACUCCGUCGUGCUGGGGAUAGAGCAUUGUAAUUACUGCUCUUCAACGAGGAAUUCCUAGUAAGCGCAAGUCAUCAGCUUGCGUUGAUUACGUCCCUGCCCUUUGUACACACCGCCCGUCGCUACUACCGAUUGAAUGGCUUAGUGAGGCCUCCGGAUUGGCUCCGUCGCGGCUUAACGGACGUGAUGGUGCCGAAAAGUUGCUCAAACUUGAUCAUUUAGAGGAAGUAAAAGUCGUAACAAGGUAGCCG